rnacentral:rRNA from 1 species
UCCAGACUCCUACGGGAGGCAGCAGUGGGGGAUAUUGCACAAUGGGGGGAACCCUGAUGCAGCGACGCCGCGUGAGUGAAGAAGUAAUUCGUUAUGUAAAGCUCUAUCAGCAGGGAAGAAUAAAUGACGGUACCUGACCAAGAAGCCCCGGCUAACUACGUGCCAGCAGCCGCGGUAAUACGUAGGGGGCAAGCGUUAUCCGGAAUUACUGGGUGUAAAGGGAGCGUAGACGGUGAUGCAAGUCUGGAGUGAAAGGCGGGGGCCCAACCCCCGGACUGCUCUGGAAACUGUGUAACUUGAGUGCAGGAGAGGUAAGCGGAAUUCCUAGUGUAGCGGUGAAAUGCGUAGAUAUUAGGAGGAACACCAGUGGCGAAGGCGGCUUACUGGACUGUAACUGACGUUGAGGCUCGAAAGCGUGGGGAGCAAACAGGAUUAGAUACCCCGGUA